GAUAUUGCCAACUUCUGUAAUGAUUUUUUUAUUGGCAAGAUUAGCAAAUUUAGGCAUAACAUGCAAACAACAAACGCUGACACUACACAUCCAAGUAUAUCUGACCAAAUUAUGAAAGACAAGCAUCGACAUUUUGAAUUCCGUAAAGUGAGUGUGGAAGAGGUGAAAAAAAUUGUCUAUCAAAGAAUGACAAGCCAACGAGGGUUUGACAACCUGGAUGGAAAAUGACUGAGGAUAAUAGCGGAUGAUAUUGCCACAUCUUCAAUUUAAGCCUACAGGAAAGGGUUCCUCAGGCCUGGAGGGAAGCUAAAGCCAUUCCCCUACUGAAGAAUAGUUAAAGCCCCCUUAACUGGCUCAAAUGGCCUGACCAAUCAGCCUGUUACCAACCCUUAGCAAACUUCUGGAAAACGUUGUGUUUGACCAGAUACAAUGCUAUACACGUCAGCUACCACAGCGACUGAAAUGACAGCAAUGUUUAACAAAGAGCUGCAGUUACUUUCAGAAUGGGUGGCAAGGAAUAAGUUAGUCCUAAAUAUUUACAAAAAUAAAAGCAUUGUAUUUGGGACAAAUCAUUUACUAAACCUUAAACCUCAACUAAAUCUCAUUAUGAAUAAUGUGGAAAUUGAGCAAGUUGAGGUGACUAAACCUGCUUGGUGUAACCCUGGAUUGUAAACUGUCAUGGUCAAAACAUAUUGAUACGACAGUAGCUAAGAUGGGGAGAAGUCUGUCCAUAAUAAAGUGAUGCUCUACCUUCUUAACAACACUAUCAACAAGGCAGGUCCUACAGGCCCUAGUUUCUGCCUUCUUAACAACACUAUCACCAAGGCACGUCCUACAGGCCCUAGUUUCUACCUUCUUAACAACACUAUCACCAAGGCAGGUCCUACAGGUCCUAGUUUCUGCCUUCUUAACAACACUAUCAACAAGGCAGGUCCUACAGGCCCUAGUUGUGUCGCACCUGGACUACAGGUGUCCCAAGCUUGUAGCGUCAUACCAAAGAAGACUCAAGGCUGUAAUCGCUGACAAAGGUGCUUCAACAAAGUACUGAGUAAAGGGUCUGAAUACAUAUGUGAAUGUUAUAUUGCAGUUAUUAUUAUUAUUAUUAUUAUUUUUUAAUUCAAAAAAAUAAUUAUACAAAUCUGUCAUUAUGGGGUAUUGUGUGUAGAUUGAUGAGUUAAAAAAAUAUUGAAUCAAUUUUAGAAUAAGGCUGUAACGUAACAAACUGUGAAGAAAGUGAAGGGGUCUGAAUACUUCCCCUUCGCCGGGCAGGCGGGCUUGGAUAAAUUAGCAAAAUUAGGAUAUGCCCACGUCACCAUUACACCCCUGGUUGUUGCUGACAGAUCAGUCACCGGCUGGCUCCACAUGAUUUGUCAAAUAAAUAAAUAAAUAAAUAAAACUAAAAGUUAGAGUGAAGCAACAAUUACCUUUUUAUUUCAGUAACAAAACAAAAGAUCAAAUGUGUUUUUAACAGUGUCACAACAAUGUACCACAUGAAAUCUGGAGCUCCCUUUUAUGAAAGACUGCACAGCGAUCACUGGACAUCUGGAGCUCCCUUUUAUGAAAGACUGCACAGCGAUCACUGGACAUCUGGAG
ensembl:lncRNA